rnacentral:rRNA from 1 species
CAUGCAGGCGGUCGGACGCGUUUUGUGUGACAGCGGGUGGCUUAACUACCCGAGUACGCGAAAGACGGUCUGACUUGAGGGCUCGAGAGGGACACGGAAUUCCGGGUGGAGUGGUGAAAUGCGUAGAGAUCCGGAGGAACACCGAAGGCGAAGGCAGUGUCCCGGCGAGUGACUGACGCUGAGGUGCGAAAGCCAGGGGAGCGAACG